GCUAUGCGCAAUUCGGGCAGGGUUCGAACCUGCAGCAGGUCGAGUCGAACGCAGUGAGACAACGUUGCCAGCGGCAACGACCCGCAGGGCGAGGCGCAGCCGACGUCAUCCUGCACGACCCACCA
rfam:Erwinia tasmaniensis strain ET1/99 complete chromosome.